UACGUAGGGUGCAAGCGUUAAUCGGAAUUACUGGGCGUAAAGGGCUCGUAGGUGGCCAACUAAGUCAGACGUGAAAUCCCUCGGCUUAACCGGGGAACUGCGUCUGAUACUGGAUGGCUUGAGAUUGGGAGAGGGAUGCGGAAUUCCAGGUGUAGCGGUGAAAUGCGUAGAUAUCUGGAGGAACACCGGUGGCGAAGGCGGCAUCCUGGACCAACACUGACACUGAGGAGCGAAAGCCAGGGGAGCAAACGGG
rnacentral:rRNA from 1 species